UCCGAUAUGGUGUAGUGGCUAACAUCGCUCGCUCUCAAUACUGAACCGAGCAGCCCUGGGUUCGAUUCCCAGUAUCGGAG
rnacentral:tRNA from 1 species